GGAGGAUCCAAGCGUUAUCCGGAAUCAUUGGGUUUAAAGGGUCCGUAGGCGGUUUAGUAAGUCAGUGGUGAAAGCCCAUCGCUCAACGGUGGAACGGCCAUUGAUACUGCUAGACUUGAAUUAUUAGGAAGUAACUAGAAUAUGUAGUGUAGCGGUGAAAUGCUUAGAGAUUACGUGGAAUACCAAUUGCGAAGGCAGGUUACUACUAAUUGAUUGACGCUGAUGGACGAAAGCGUGGGUAGCGAACAGGAUUAGAUACCCUGGUAGUCCACGCCGUAAACGAUGGAUACUAGCUGUUGGGGGCAACUUCAGUGGCUAAGCGAAAGUGAUAAGUAUCCCACCUGGGGAGUACGAACGCAAGUUUG
rnacentral:rRNA from 1 species